AUUGAACGCUGGCGGCAGGCCUAACACAUGCAAGUCGAGCGAGCGGCGGACGGGUGAGUAAUGUAUGGGACUGCCCGAUAGAGGGGGAUAACUACUGGAAACGGUGGCUAAUACCGCAUACUCCCGGAUAACCCAUAUUGGAGUAGCUAGUAGGGGGGGUAAAGGUUAACCUAGGCGACGAUCACUAGCUGGUCUGAGCGGAUGAUCAGCCACACUGGGACUGAGACACGGCCCAGACUCCUACGGAGGAAGCAGUGGGGAAUAUUGCACAAUGGGCGCAAGCCUGAUGCAGCCAUGCCGCGGGUAUGAAGAAGGCCUUAGGGUUGUAAAGUACUUUCAGCGGGGAGGCGUUACCCGCAGAAGAAGCACCGGCUAACUCCGUGCCAGCAGCCGCGGUAAUUC
rnacentral:rRNA from 1 species